UGAGUGUUGCAAGGUUGGUGGUCAGUUACCAUCAAAGGUCAAGUUAAGUAAUCUCAACAUUUCCCUGAAUUUUGGACUCUAUUAAUAAGUUAAUGAAAUGGUAAUGUGUGCAAGUGGAUUUCAUGUACUAAUUAAUUCCUACUUAGAAUUCAAAUUAGCUACAUAUUAGUUUUCAAGAGCACUACUUUGAAAGGGAAACACUUAGAUAGCUAUGAGCAGUUUCUUUGCAUCAAAUGAUUAUUAGCUUACAUGUUAGAUAGCUUUGAUGUGAGUAAUGAUAAGUUUUACAAUAGUGGAAAAGGCAACAGAGGGAUUUCUUAUUCUUCUUUGUUGUAUGUAUGUUAGCACAUUGUUAUGAAUUCUGGUCAUAGAUUGGUGAAUAUGCUGCUACUGGUAGAUAAUCUUGGUUGUAUUUAAAUGGUUAAUCAUUGGGCUUAAUUAACUUAGUCCCUUUUGAAUAUGAAACUAGCACAUACCUAUUUUCUCCACUGUAUUGAAAAGAGAAUUACAUUCCAGAUAGUAUAAGAAUAGAUGGGUUGUUGGUACAUUUUUUGGAUGCCUUGGCUUGCUUGAGUACCAGCAUGUUGGUUAAUGAUUAGAUACAUUAUACUUGUUAGUUACACAUAAUUCUUUACAUAGCAUAUGCUGCUUGAAUGCUUUUCUCUAUUUCUACAAUGAUGCCUUGUGAUUUUUUAUGUGAAGGACAUCAGGGUUUCAGAGAAUUCAGUCACAGAUACAGGCAAAGGUGGCAUUCCUAUAUUUAUGUUGAUUGCACGUACAUUUGACAAAAGUGAAAAUCCUUAACGGGGGUAACGUCAGGAUUCGUGAGCCUAAAGGAUCUGAAAUCAGAAUACGGAAUGAAGUCACGUGUAUUAGAAAGCAAUUCAAUUCAUAAAGCACAAUCUGAGGAAGGUGCUUCUGCGAAAUUUAUAACUUGAAUUGUGUGCACCAAAUAUAUGAAUUGUUGGGCUUAGUUCAUCGUCGGGAAGUUUAUCAUUUUGCUGGUUUGCCCUUGUUUUUAGAAACUUUGAAUUUACAAGGACUUGUAGCACAUCUUUGAAUAAACCUUCAACUUACUAGUACUUGUAUUAUAGUGAAUAGCAUGCCGA